rnacentral:rRNA from 1 species
CAUCCGUGAGUAAAGCGGCGUACGGGUGAGUAACACGUGGAUCAUCUACCUUUUAGUGGGGAAUAACCCUGGGAAACCGGGGCUAAUAUCGCAUAAGCCUGAGAAGGGAAAGCAGCAAUGCGCUGAAAGAGGAGUCCGCGGCCGAUUAGCUAGUUGGUGAGGUAACGGCUCACCAAGGCGAUGAUCGGUAGCCGGCCUGAGAGGGCACACGGCCACACUGGCACUGAAACACGGGCCAGACUCCUACGGGAGGCAGCAGUGGGGAAUCUUGCACAAUGGAGGCAACUCUGAUGCAGCGACGCCGCGUGAGCGAUGAAGCCCCUCGGGGUGUAAAGCUCUUUCGGCAGGGACGAUAAUGACGGUACCUGAAGAAGAAGCUGCGGCUAACUACGUGCCAGCAGCCGCGGUAAUACGUAGGCAGCGAGCGUUGUUCGGAAUUACUGGGCGUAAAGAGUGUGUAGGCGGCGCUCUAAGUUCGGUGUGAAAUCUCCCGGCUUAACUGGGAGGUGCGCCGGAACUGGA